GGACUGGCGUUGGCGGGGCCUUCCAGAGACUGCGUAACACGGCUCAGUAACCCACACGCCGGCCAUGGCAGAACCCCCUGAAAACACGUUUCCAGGGCCUGCCCCGACGUGGCCUCUGUCUUCAAACCUCUCCAGUGUGACUCUUCAACUCCCUUCACAGUCGGGUGUUUUUGUGGUCAGGGGUGACUGUGGACUUGCGACUUGCGUGUCUAGUUUCUCAUGAUGAUCCACUGGGCUGGCAGCCUCUGACAGGGAACACUCAGCACCGUGUCAUUUCCCUUUAGGUGACUUGUGGAUCCCUGGCAAGGGUACAGGCAGGCGGAUCAGGGCCAGCGCUCUAAGGACAGCAGCACAGGGCAGAGGUGGAGAGGCGCCCAUCGAGAACGGCUUCUCUUGCCCAGUUGCUCGCCAUGGUAACCAGCCAGAUGUGGAACCCCAGCAGAAGGUGGCGAUGACAUCAUUCUUGGGCUUCUGAUUGACUGCGGCGGUUCUUUCACCAGAGGAUCUGACAGGUGGCCUCACUCACCACCUGCAUCCGGAGGAAAGGAAUUCCACUCCUGUUGAGGGUACUAGACCAGGCCCCAGGACCCACCUGCAGAGGACUCACCCCCAGGUCCAAAAGCAUCAAGUUCCAGAAUUGUAAGAACCCGGAUCUUGAGAAUCAGAGGACGGAGAAUUCUAACUGCCGCGGAUCCUAAGGUUCCGAGACAUCAUUCUCAGGAACAGCAUCCCUCAGCUGCCAUCCUCCACAGAAAUGCACAGUCUUUUCAAACCCAAGGGGGUCCUGCCUCCCUUGACAUAGGCAAUCCAAUACUUCUGCCCAGAAGCAGUGCACAGCAAUCCUGUCACCAGGACACCAGGUCUACAUGACUCUGUAGAUGCCUGUGGUAGAGAGAAGAUACUGGCAGAGGUGAACGGGUCCAAGAAGAGUAGCUGAUGGCACAAAAAAUCCUUUGCUGAGUUUGGCUGGUGACUAUGAGGCAGCUAGUGUGGACUGCCAGCCGAGAAGGCCUGGAUGACCCAGUGAAGUGACUGCUCCUUCUCUAGGCUGGAGUGGAGGCCAUAGACAAUGAGCUGGAUCCCUGCCCUGCAUUUUGCUUCUGGUGUGGCUGUGGUGCUUGGCGGGAGAGGCUGCCUCCUGGCUGAGGCUUGGAUCUGCAAGGCCGGGGCACUGGCUGGGCCUGGCCAAGCGCCCCCACAGCUGCCUGGAAGUAAGGGGUCCUCGGGACAGACACAGAGCCCAGCACACCCCAUCCUGGAACACGGGGGAGACUUCCUCGCAGCCAGAGCAGUGGGAUCAGGGGAGAUGAACCCGGUAGUCUCCGAGGUCCUUCCAGCCCUGAUAUCAGGAGACGAGAAGCUUCGCCGUGUGAACAGCAAACAGCCUGUUGUCUGGGUUCCUCUGGCCUGCUCCGUCACGGGGAGGCUCCCCAUAAGAUGCUGCGUCCUCUGAGACGGAAACCCUCGGAGCCUCGGCCUGUUGAUUUGGAAGUGGUCCCAGGGCCAUGGGGCAACAGGAGAGCACCCCUGGGGCUCCUUGGGCAGGAGACACAGGGAAACUACAGGAGGGAAAAAGGAAAGAUGGAAGCCACACCAAGGAGGAGAGAGAAGCUUUCGAUGAUGAACCAAGAACGUCAUAGAGUUGGAAUCCUACAGUAUGUAGCCUUUUCAGAUCGGCCUUGUUCACUUGGUAAUAUGCAUUGCUGGGAAAGCUGUACGAGGUCUGGAGCGCGGGGCAUCCCGGGAUCAGCUCCCUGCUGCCACAACCCCACUGGUGUUAUUAGUAUCCUCAUCAGAAUGACGUCUUUUCCAGCAGCUUGUUUCUAGCACGUUUCUGAGUUUCUACAGCCCGUCCAGAUCUAGGCCCCUGGUCACAUCCCAGAGCCACCCCCACCACAGACACAAGGCCCCUCAGUGCCAGGCCCCCUUGGUGGAUCUCAAAUGGUUUUGCAUAAGCCCCACCCCACAUAAGGCAGCAGAAGCAGGCUCUUACCCUAUUCGGCAGAUGGGCAGGCUGUGGCUCAGAGAAGCUGAGUGGCUGGCAUAAAAUGGCACAGGAUCUCCUCUACAACCACCUACAACCACCCUCCAUACAGCAAGCCCCUCAGCUUCCCUUUCCACCCAAAGGUCUGGCUCCCACUCUUGGAUGAAGAGAAGGAGCGUCUGAACCCAAAAUUCCUUACAGCACAAUAGACAACUGAAAAACAACUCAACAGAAUUUUAAUUAUUCACAGAAAACGUGUACUGUGUACAAGGUAUUGAUCAAAGAACUUUAUAAAUACUAACUCAUUUUCUCCUUAUAACUACCUUAAUGAAGCAGGUACAAUUAUUAUCCCCAUUUUAUAGGUGAGGAAACUGAGGCAGGGAGAGAGUAACUGGCCCAGGGCCACACAGCUAGGAGGCCAGAGAGCCGGCAGUGGCCCACACUUUUAGACACUGCACUCUGCUACCUGCGGAUUUUUUGUUUGUACCAUUUUCCAGUUAUUAAUUUUUAAACAGUUUUAUUGAGGUAUAAUUUAAUGGUGUAAUUUAACUUAAGAUUUACCCAUUUUAAGUGUACAAUUAAAUGAUUUCAGUUAAUUUAUAGAAUUGUGCAACCAUUAUAACGAACCAAUUUUGGCACAUUUCCAUCAUCCCAGAAAAGAUCCUUUAUGUCCACUUCCUGUCACUGUUUCAACCUCCAGCCUGAGGCAACCACUAAUCUACUUUCUGUCUCUGUAGAUUUGCCUCUUCUGGAAACUUCAUAAUAAUGAAGUCAGAGAAUGUUGGGUCUUUUGAGUCUGUUUUUGAGGUUGUUCGUUGGGGUAGCAUGUGUCAGCACGUCAUUCCUUUUCAUUGCUGACUAAUAGUCUGUCGUGUGGCUAUCCCACAUUUUGUCUAUCCAUUCA
ensembl:lncRNA